rnacentral:sRNA from 1 species
GCUUUGAUUUAUACAGACUUGUAGGUUUCCCUGUGAAUCUGGGAGCAGGAUGAAGUGAUGCUCAAAGGAUCAAGAUCAAAAGGCAGUGGAAAGAAAUGAAGGAUGCAGGAGAAAGAUGGACAUUGGGAAUAAAGGGAAGAGAGAGAGGGGUGAUGGGGAAGGUAGGAAGAUCAGGACAGAGCAAGGAACAACAGGAUGAGAUUCAAAAGAAAGCAACAUGGGGAACAUGCAAGUGGUGAGGGCUAAGAAAUCUUAAUAAUGAAGAAACCAUGGGGACUAAGAGGAAGUUGAAGAAAGCUGCUGGAGCAACCUAGAGAGACAGAAGAGAGCAGAGAAGUGAGUGAAAGGAAUAAACCUGGGAUGAGAGAGAGGAUCUGCACUGUAACUCUGAUAUUGACCAAGAGGAUUGAUAACCUCCCUUUUAUUAAAUGCCACAUACAUGCCAG